AAAACAUUCAUUUGAAUUUUUCCAUAACAUCAGAUGGAAAGCCCUGAAUGAACUUUUUGG
rnacentral:ncRNA from 2 species